GGAAGCGGAAGUGCGGCCUGAGCUUGCGCUAGGCGGGUUUUUCCUCGGCGACUCUUGCCGCCAGCUGUACUAGACAUGGACUGUUACACUGCGAACUGGAAUCCACUCGGGGACUCUGCCUUUUACAGGAAGUAUGAGCUGUACAGCAUGGACUGGGACCUGAAGGAGGAGCUCAAGGAUUGCCUGGUGGCUGCUGCACCCUAUGGGGGUCCCAUUGCUCUACUGAGGAACUGUUGGAGAAAAGAGAAAGCUGCCAGCGUGCGGCCAGUACUGGAGAUCUACUCUGCAUCUGGCUUACCACUGGCUAGCCUGCUGUGGAAGAGUGGGCCUGUGGUGGCCCUCGGCUGGUCAGCUGAGGAGGAGCUGCUCUGUGUGCAAGAAGAUGGUGCAGUGCUAGUUUAUGGCCUUCAUGGAGACUUCCGGAGGCACUUCAGCAUGGGCAAUGAAGUGCUUCAGAACCGUGUCCUGGAUGCCCGGAUUUUUCACACUGAGUUUGGUUCAGGGGUGGCCAUCCUUACAGGAGCCUAUCGCUUUACUCUGAGUGCCAAUGUGGGUGACCUCAAACUCCGUCGGAUGCCAGAGGUGCCAGGUCUGCAAAGUGCACCCUCAUGUUGGACCACACUGUGCCACGACCGAGUACCACACAUUCUUCUGGCUGUAGGACCCGAUCUUUACCUUCUGGAUCAUGCUACCUGCUCUGCAGUGACACCUGCUGGCUUAGCCCCAGGAGUGAGCAGCUUCCUACAGAUGGCUGUAUCCUUCACGUAUCGUUACCUGGCACUCUUCACAGACACAGGCUACAUCUGGAUGGGGACAGCAUCACUCAAGGAGAAGCUGUGUGAGUUCAACUGCAACAUCCGGGCUCCCCCGAAGCAGAUGGUCUGGUGUAGCCGUCCUCGGAGCAAGGAAAGGGCUGUUGUUGUGGCCUGGGAGAGGCGGCUGAUGGUGGUGGGCAAUGCGCCUGAAAGCAUCCAGUUUGUGCUCGAUGAGGACUCCUACUUAGUGCCUGAGCUUGAUGGGGUCCGCAUCUUCUCCCGAAGCACCCAUGAGUUCCUGCAUGAAGUCCCAGUGGCCAGUGAAGAGAUCUUCAAAAUUGCCUCAAUGGCCCCUGGAGCACUGCUGUUAGAGGCCCAGAAGGAAUAUGAGAAAGAGAGCCAGAAAGCAGAUGAGUACCUGCGGGAGAUCCAGGAACUGGGCCAGCUGAUCCAGGCUGUGCAGCAGUGCAUUGAGGCUGCAGGACAUGAGCACCAGCCAGACAUGCAAAAGAGUCUGCUCAGGGCGGCUUCAUUUGGAAAGUGUUUCCUUGACAGAUUUCCACCUGACAGCUUCGUGCACAUGUGUCAGGACCUUCGAGUGCUCAAUGCUAUUAGAGACUACCACAUUGGGAUCCCUCUCACCUACACCCAAUACAAGCAGCUCACCAUCCAGGUGCUGCUAGACAGGCUUGUGUUGCGGAGGCUUUAUCCCCUGGCUAUCCAGAUAUGCGAGUACCUGCGCCUUCCUGAAGUCCAGGGUGUCAGCAGGAUCCUAGCCCACUGGGCCUGCUACAAGGUGCAGCAGAAAGAUGUCUCAGAUGAAGAUGUAGCACGGGCUAUUAAUCAGAAGCUGGGUGACACGCCUGGUGUUUCAUACUCUGACAUUGCUGCGAGGGCCUAUGGCUGUGGCCGCACUGAACUGGCCAUUAAGCUGCUGGAGUAUGAGCCACGCUCAGGGGAGCAGGUACCUCUUCUCCUAAAGAUGAAGAGGAGCAAACUGGCACUGAGCAAGGCUAUUGAGAGUGGAGACACUGACCUGGUGUUUACAGUGUUGCUGCACCUAAAGAAUGAACUCAACCGAGGAGACUUUUUCAUGACUCUCCGGAACCAACCCAUGGCCCUGAGUUUGUAUCGACAGUUCUGUAAGCAUCAGGAGCUAGACACUCUGAAGGACCUUUACAAUCAGGACGACAAUCACCAGGAGUUGGGCAGCUUCCACAUCAGAGCCAGCUAUGCCGCUGAAGAGCGUAUUGAAGGGCGAGUGGCAGCUCUGCAGACGGCAGCUGAUGCCUUCUACAAAGCCAAGAAUGAAUUUGCAGCCAAGGCCACAGAGGAUCAAAUGAGGCUCCUGCGGAUACAGCGACGCCUAGAGGAUGAGCUAGGGGGCAGGUUCCUAGACCUAUCUCUACACGACACUGUCACCACUCUUAUCCUUGGAGGCCACAACAAGCGGGCAGAGCAGCUGGCACGUGACUUUCGCAUCCCUGAUAAGAGACUAUGGUGGUUAAAGCUGGCUGCCCUGGCAGAUUUGGAAGAUUGGGAGGAGCUGGAGAAGUUUUCCAAAAGCAAGAAAUCACCGAUUGGUUACCUGGUGGGAAGGGGACUAGAUAUACUGACUGUACAAAAUACCUAUGGGCAAGUGUCCUCUGGGCUUCUGCUCCUGAGAGAGGAAAUAGGGCCAGGCUUGUCUUCUCUGUCUUGCAAAGCCCUUUGUAGAGAUCUGCAUGAAACAGCAUAACAAACAUGAGGCCAAGAAGUAUGCUUCCCGUGUGGGCCCUGAACAAAAGGUCAAGGCUUUGCUUCUUGUUGGGGAUGUGGCUCAGGCUGCAGAGGUGGCUAUUGAGCACCGGAAUGAAACAGAGCUGAGCCUCGUUUUGUCCCACUGCACUGGAGCCACAGAUGGGGCCAUAGCUGACAAGAUUCAGCGGGCCAGGGCACAAGCCCAGAAGAAGUGAAGAGCCUGUCCUUAAGGGGACUAGUUAAAACCCCAGGAUGUCCAGAUGUAAAUAAAUUUGGAAUACUAAUUCAGAAUAGUUGUUGUAUGCUGUCUGGCUUAAGAAAAGCAGGCUUUGAGGCAAAACUGUCUAGCUACUGCAGCAGAACUCUGCAUAUUUGAUUGUAUUGAGGUUGGGAAUAGGAAGUUAUAAGAGAUCUGUUUAUUCACGUAGUCACCAUAGUAAUUCUCUCAGAAGCUGUCUCACAGCCUGGAGGAAGGUGUGGUGGGAGAUGGCAUAAUAUUCAAGCACCACGGUACCCGGGAAGCCCUACACUGAAGAGCAUGACAUGCCUGCCCAUGAGCUUACAAGGACCACACUGUGCACUUCGCUAUUAUUCACCCAUCCCUCACAACAGUUCUGAAUCUAUAACAGCAAAUACGUAUCAAAAGAAGGAUUUGGGCUGGCCAGGUGGCUCAGUAGCUAAAGGCUUUUGCCACCAAGCCAGGCAACUUGAGUUUAAACCCUUCUCCUCUGAUCUUUACCCAUAUACAAAACAUACUGAAUAGAUGGGUGUAUGAAUGAAUGAAUGGAUGAAUGAAUGAAAAUAAAUAGAAAUAAAUGAGGAUUUG